AGGUGUGUGUGGUAGUGUGAUUUGACGACUGAAGCUACUUAGUUGGGUCAACUAUUAGAAGAAGCGGGGUAGACGUCUGGAUUAAGGCAGUUAGAAGCUAGGCGAGUUUCCUCAACACCAGCUUAAGCAGUUCUACAGAAUUCUAGUAGGUCAAGGGCCGGCAGGCAGAUAGAACCUGACCCUAGAAAUGGAGAGCUGGACCAGUAGCCCUGUGCAGGGGUUAUAUCAGCGCG